rnacentral:rRNA from 1 species
AGAACGAACGCUGGCGGCACGCCUAACACAUGCAAGUCGAGCGCCCAGCAAUGGGAGCGGCGGACGGGUGAGGAACACGUGGGAAUAUGCCUUUCGGUUCGGCACAACUGCGGGAAACUGCAGCUAAUUCCGGAUACGCCCUUACGGGGAAAGAUUUAUCGCCGAAAGAUUAGCCCGCGUCUGAUUAGCUAGUUGGUGAGGUAAUGGCUCACCAAGGCUUCGAUCAGUAGCUGGUUUGAGAGAACGACCAGCCACACUGGGACUGAGACACGGCCCAGACUCCUACGGGAGGCAGCAGUGGGGAAUCUUGGACAAUGGAGGAAACUCUGAUCCAGCGAUGCCGCGUGAGUGAUGAAGGCCUUCGGGUUGUAAAACUCUUUUACCAGGGAAGAUAAUGACUGUACCUGGAGAAUAAGCUCCGGCUAACUUCGUGCUAGCAGCCGC